rnacentral:rRNA from 1 species
GACGAACGCUGGCGGCGUGCUUAACACAUGCAAGUCGAACGCUGAAGCUCAGCUUUUGUUGGGUGGAUGAGUGGCGAACGGGUGAGUAACACGUGAGUAACCUGCCCCCUUCUUUGGGAUAACGCCCGGAAACGGGUGCUAAUACUGGAUAUUCACUGGUCUUCGCAUGGGGGUUGGUGGAAAGGGUUUUUCUGGUGGGGGAUGGGCUCGCGGCCUAUCAGCUUGUUGGUGGGGUGAUGGCCUACCAAGGCUUUGACGGGUAGCCGGCCUGAGAGGGUGACCGGUCACAUUGGGACUGAGAUACGGCCCAGACUGCUACGGGAGGCAGCAGUGGGGAAUAAUGCACAAUGGGCGCAAGCCUGAUGCAGCGACGCCGCGUGAGGGAUGGAGGCCUUCGGGUUGUGAACCUCUUUCGCUCAUGGUCAAGCCGCAACAAUGGUUGUGGUGAGGGUAGUGGGUAAAGAAGCGCCGGCUAACUACGUG